rnacentral:rRNA from 1 species
CCUACGGGUGGCAGCAGUGGGGGAUAUUGCACAAUGGGGGAAACCCUGAUGCAGCGACGCCGCGUGUGGGAAGACGGUCCUCUGGAUUGUAAACCACUGUCCCCAGGGACGAAGAUGACGGGACCUGGGGAGGAAGCUCCGGCUAACUACGUGCCAGCAGCCGCGGGAAUACGGAGGGAGCGAGCGUUGGCCGGAAUUACUGGGGGUAAAGGGAGCGUAGGCGGGGAUGCAAGUUGGGUGUCAAAACUACCGGCUCAACUGGCAGUCGCACUCCAAACUGCUGCUCUUGAGUGCAGUAGAGGCAGGCGGAAUUCCUAGUGUAGCGGUGAAAUGCGUAGAUAUUAGGAGGAACACCAGUGGCGAAGGCGGCCUGCUGGGCUUUUCCUGACGCUGAGGCUCGAAAGUGUGGGGAGCAAACAGGAUUAGAUACCCCAGUAGUC